rnacentral:rRNA from 1 species
GUACACUCCUACGGGAGGCAGCAGUGGGGAAUUUUGGACAAUGGGCGAAAGCCUGAUCCAGCAAUGCCGCGUGUGUGAAGAAGGCCUUCGGGUUGUAAAGCACUUUUGUCCGGAAAGAAAUCCUUGGCUCUAAUACAGUCGGGGGAUGACGGUACCGGAAGAAUAAGCACCGGCUAACUACGUGCCAGCAGCCGCGGUAAUACGUAGGGUGCGAGCGUUAAUCGGAAUUACUGGGCGUAAAGCGUGCGCAGGCGGUUUGCUAAGACCGAUGUGAAAUCCCCGGGCUCAACCUGGGAACUGCAUUGGUGACUGGCAGGCUAGAGUAUGGCAGAGGGGGGUAGAAUUCCACGUGUAGCAGUGAAAUGCGUAGAGAUGUGGAGGAAUACCGAUGGCGAAGGCAGCCCCCUGGGCCAAUACUGACGCUCAUGCACGAAAGCGUGGGGAGCAAACAGGAUUAGAAACCCCAGUAGUCCCAUGA